rnacentral:rRNA from 1 species
UACGGAGGGGGCAAGCGUUGUUCGGAAUCAUUGGGCGUAAAGGGCGUGUAGGCGGUCGAUCAAGUCGGAGGUGAAAUCCCUCGGCUCAACUGAGGAAUUGCCUUCGAUACUGUUCGGCUUGAGUCCUGGAGAGGGUAGCGGAAUUCCCGGUGUAGCGGUGAAAUGCGUAGAUAUCGAGAGGAACACCAGUGGCGCCAGCGGCUGACUGGCCGAGACCUGACGCUGAGACACGACGGCGUGGGGAGCAAACCGG